UAGCCGUAAACGAUACUCGCUAGGUGUCGGCCACGGUGCGACCGUUGUCGGUGCCGUAGGGAAGCCGUGAAGCGAGCCACCUGGGAAGUACGGCCGCAAGGCUGAAACUUAAAGGAAUUGGCGGGGGAGCACAACAACGGGUGGAGCUUGCGGUUUAAUUGGACUCAACGCCGGAAAUCUCACCGGAUAGGACAGACAUAUGAUAGUCGGGCCGAAGACUCUACUUGAUGAUCUGAGAGGAGGUGCAUGGCGUCAGUGACU
rnacentral:rRNA from 1 species